UUCAGUUUAUGGGUUGUGUAUCGAAAGAGAAGAAGAUAUCUUAAUUCUUGCUGAAGAUCUUUUUGUUUUCUUAACUCCUCUUGAUUUUGGGGAUUUUGUGGCCGUAGGCGUAUUCUUUUUGUUUUCUUAUUGCGCAUCUUCAAUUGUCAUAUGAGUCAAGGAUAUGAUUCGGCAAUUGGGACAAUAAAUUCUUCUAAGCUUGAUCUUCUUGGAAGUGUAGCUCCCUAUGUGCUGUAUGGAACUAAUAGAUAGAGGCUUAGUGGGUCUGCUCCUAGAACGUUUUCGAAUCACCGCUUGACGUAUUUAGAACGUCCUUACACAAAAAAAACAUUGGCUGCUCUCUCCUCGAGAAAGACCCGAACUUUGUUCAUAAUCUAGACUAAAUUAAAGAAGAUCGAGGAUGAACAGAGCAGACAUAUUUACUUUGUGGCUAUUGCAACUGUUGCAGCUGCUCAAGUCGUUGCUGAAGUUGUUCGUCUCACUGCUUAUCAUGUUUCCCUGGAAAUCAAAGAAAGAUGUUGCAUAUAUCAAGAUUCAGACAGCGUUUAGAGUAUAUGGUAUAUAGAGUAACUAUCAAGUUUGGUUUGGUAAUUGAAAAGAUUGAUUCUUUUUUCUUGUUACCAUUUUAAAGCAAGAAGAGCAUUGUGUGCUUUGAGAGGCCAGAACUGAGUUUUCUGAAGAACCAAAAAUCCAAAAGAGA